AAGCAUUGCAAGUUAUCAGUUAUCACAGAAUUUGAUUUUCUUGUUAAGUAACAAAAUGCUGUUAGUCGCCAAAUGUCACAAAUUUGUGACUCGAUAUUUUAAGUGUUUUGUUUAAUUUCACGGGAAACUUUUUUUUUGAAAAUGCUCAGUACUAAAGAUGCUGUCGGUAAAAAUUGUCACUGUGGAUUCCUAUAUGUCUACACCUGUGUUCGGCCUCGAUCCAACUUAUUCACAAUUCAGAGGUGCAACUGUGGGCCAAGUGCCGGUGCUAAGGGUUUUCGGUAUUACGAAGGAUGGCGUGAAGGCAUGUGUGCACAUCCAUCGAAUAUUUCCUUAUAUGUAUAUCCCAGUGGAUGAUGAUGAGACCAAUGUUGAAGGAUUCAUGCAGAGAUUGUCAGAAGAGCUUGAAAGGCAUAUCAAUAAUCAGUCAAACGACAAAUUAAAUAAACAACAUAUUUUUAAAGUGCAACAAGUUUGUGGCAUACCGUUUUAUGGGUAUCAUUCCAGCCCAAAGUCUUUCCUUAAGAUAUUUUUCUAUCGUCCAUAUGUAAUAAAGAAAGCCGUUGAAAUUCUUGAAAGUGGACUGAUAUUCAACAAACCGUUUCAACCAUAUGAAGCCCACUUGCCUUUCACCCUGCAAUUUUUUAUUGACUAUAAUCUUUAUGGAAUGAGUUUUUUGAAUGUUUCAAAAUAUGUUGUUAGGAUAGAUAACAAUUCUAGCACUGAAGUUCAGAGGAAAGAAAGUUACUGUGAACUUGAGCUUGAUGUUUUAGGUGAAGAUAUUUUAAACCAAAAAUUAACUGCAGACAUUUCUUUGGACAUGAAUCCGGGUUUGGUGUAUAUGUGGGAAGAAGAGAAAUCCAGGAGGAGGAUGAAAGGUGACCUAUCGCAGAUUUCUUUGGUCAAAUAUGACAAUCCAGUUUCCCCUUUCAGAUCGAAUAUCGAGCUUCAACUUAUUGCAAAACUUGUUCAGAGUUUAGAGAGACAUUUAAAGCCAGUUCAUGUAAUAGACUCAUUAGAGUUGACUAGUUCUGGUAUGCUGGAAGCUUCUUUUAUUGAAAACCAUAGUCAAGAUAUGGAUGUUAGUAUGUUAGUGGAUUCUCAGGUUAAAAGUCUUUUGGAAAUAUGCAAACAAAUGUGGGAUGAAGAGGACGAAUCACAUACAAGUGAAAACCAUAGGCCUGACGAAGACAGCAUUUUAGGAACCCAGAUCUUACCGGAACAUAAUCAAGAUCAAGAGGAAGUAGAAGACGAAGAAAUUGACCUGUCUCAACCAUUAGAUAUAUCAAGAUCUGAUGAAGACCUUUUUUCCGAGGACGAACAGGGACAAUUCAAUCCUCCUGCAGAUUCUGGAAGUCCAGAUUUGGAAAGACUUCUUUUUGUCGAUGGCAAUGCUGAUGAAGAAGAGUCACCUAAGAAAAAAGCCUCACCGAAGAAAAGAAAAAAAAUCGAUCCUCAGAGAUAUAAACCUUUGGAUAUCAUAAUUCAUAAAUCUCCUAUGAAACCAUCUACAGAGACAAUAGGGAGUCCUUUUCAAAACAGCGAGACAAAAGAUAAAUGCCAGAAGAUAAAAUUAAAAAUGAGGCAAAAGCAGAAAGUUGACCUGAGAAAACAAAUUGCUUUAAAAAAUCCAGAAAAUAAACUUAUAAUAGAUGCUGUUUCAAAAAUUAACCCACCUCUGCAUUUAGUAGAUGAACGUAAUGAAGGUGAUAUUGCUGUUCAACGGAAAAUAUAUCAAGACCUAGAUUCAUCUACACAUUUAGUAAAACAAAAUAUUCUAGAAAUUAAUGAAAAUUCAGAUGUAGAAAUUGCUGAAGAUAAAUUUAAUGUUUCUCAAACAAGUAUCACUAGUUUUUACAAUUCUUCUCAGAACUUUACACCAGAUUGCAAAACACUUUCACCAUUACAAAAUCCACCAACAAGAAAUGAUGUUAUCAACACGUUGAAAAAUUAUAAUUUGCAAGAAAUCCCACAGCAUAAACCUUUUUAUGGUUCGUUCAUUGAUAACAGCACAUCAAAAGAAAUCGGGCUGAGCAAAAUUUCCAUUUUGAACAAGUACAGUUUGGAAGAAUUUUCCGGAACGUAUGGGAGCUUGGAAUUGACUCAAAGAGGCUUUAUAAAAUCAAUAUUUGGUGCUCACAGCUCUAGCAAUGAUUUUAUUGGAACAUUAACAACACAAAAAAGUGCUAUUCUCACCACGCUCCAAAGCUCUCCAAACUUCAAGGAUGCGCAGGCAUGGUUACAGAAACAAAUUUCUGAUGGCGAAAGAAUUUCAGAACCACUUACAGCUUGUCCAACCCACACAGAUCAACAGGGCAUUGAAGUCUCUCGGUGUUCUGGAGAUUCGGAGGUAUACUCAUCAUUUGACUCUGAAACACUUAAAACUAUAAUUGAUAUAAGAAACAACAGCUGUGCCAUUGAAGCAUCUUCAGUGGAAAGUUUGGACCUGCAACCUGCAAAAUCACUCACCAACACUUACACAUAUCUUACUCUAUUUUGCUUGGAAAUUCAUGUUUUAACACGAGGGCUUUUAAAUCCAGAUCCUGAAUAUGAUCAGGUUGCUGGAAUAUUUUUUACAAUAACAAAUGAUGUCCCAGAUAACAUUAACAUUGAACAAAAUAAAACUGGAAUCAUCGUUUUAUCUACUGAAUCUAAUAUAAACAUUACAGAUGACACCUUUAUAUUUAAAGUUGAAUCUGAGAAAGAUAUAAUAUUUAAAUUAGUAGAACUUGUGCGAAAAGAAGACCCAGAUAUUUUAGUGGGAUAUGAAAUCGAAAAUUCAUCUUGGGGAUAUGUCAUCCAAAGAGCUUACUCGUUGGGAAUAAAUUUAAUUUCAGAUCUUGCAAGGGUGCAGAGUUUGACCACUAAUGUUAGAACUGAUGAUCUCAACAGAGAUUUGAAAAUAACUGGCCGUGUUGUUCUCAGCGUUUGGAGGAUGCUGAGACAUGAAAUAUCACUUAUGAGUUACACAUUUGAAAGUAUGAUGUAUCAUAUUUUGGAUACAAGGGUGCCAAAAUAUUCUUACCAGAUGCUGACAAGUUGGUGGUCCCAUUUUUCCAAUAAGUACAAGGAUUUGACUAUUAAUUAUUACCUGACGAGAGUCAAAGGUGUCAUCAAACUUCUCGAGUCACUUGAUCUUAUUGGACGAACCAGUGAACUUGCAAGUCUUUUUGGUAUACAGUUUUUUGAAGUGCUCUCUAGAGGAUCGCAAUUCAGAGUAGAAUCAAUGAUGUUAAGAUUGGCUAAGCCAAUGAAUUAUGUCGCAAUUUCUCCAAAUAUUCAUCAAAGAGCUGCUAUGAGAGCUCCAGCAUCCCUUCCGUUAAUCAUGGAACCUCAGUCAAGGUUGUAUACCGACCCCGUGAUAGUUCUUGAUUUCCAAAGCCUGUAUCCUUCUAUGAUGAUUGCAUAUAAUUAUUGUUUCUCAACUUGCUUAGGCAGGGUGGAUGAGAUAUUAGAAAAGGAUGAAAUUGUCUUUGGCUGUUCUAAAUUGAAGCUGGACAAGAAUGAGCUGUUGUCCCUUAAGGAUCAUAUCCAUGUUAGCCCAGCGGGGGUUGCAUUCGUUGAUAGUUCUGUACGAAAAGGCAUACUGCCCAGGAUGCUGGAGGAAAUUCUUGAAACCAGAUUAAUGGUCAAAAAAUCAAUGGGGAUGCAUAAAAAUGACAAGAAGCUGUACAAAGUCUUACAUGCAAGGCAGCUCGGUCUAAAAUUAAUUGCAAAUGUCACUUAUGGAUAUACGUCUGCAAAUUUCUCUGGGCGUAUGCCUUGUAUUGAGGUCGGUGACAGUGUUGUGAGCAAGGGAAGGGAAACGUUAGAACGAACAAUUAAACUGGUACAUGAGACAAAACGAUGGGGCGCUGAAGUUGUGUACGGUGACACAGAUUCCUUAUUUGUCUUAUGCCCUGGGAAAACAAGGGCAGAGGCCUUUCGCAUUGGAGAAGAGAUUGCUGAUCUAGUCACCCAAAACAACCCAAAGCCUGUCAAACUUAAGCUUGAAAAAGUUUACCAACCUUCAUUGCUUCAGACGAAAAAGAGAUAUGCAGGCUAUAUGUUUGAAACAGCCAAUCAAGAAAAGCCCAAGUUUGAUGCUAAGGGAAUAGAAACAGUUCGUAGAGAUGGAUGUAUUGCAGUUAGCAAAAUUUUGGAGAAGGCACUAAGAAUACUUUUUGAAACAUACGAUGUCAGCAAAGUAAAAAAUUAUGUGUGCUCUCAACUGUUGAAAAUUUCAAGUGGAAAAUUGAGCAUACAGGAGUUAACGUUUGCCCGGGAAUUCCGUGGGAUUAAGGGAUAUCAGCCAAAUGCUUGUGUUCCUGCGAUGAAGCUAGGAAUGGCUGUUGAAAGACCGAAGGGCUGAACCAAGAGUCGGAGAAAGGGUAGGCUAUGUUGUAAUAUAUGGACCACCUGGCGUUCCCAUCAUACGCCUUGUUCGUUCUCCACAUGAGUUCAUUUCAAAUCCUUCACUUCAAUUAAAUGCUGAAUAUUACAUUACAAAAGUAAUACUGCCUCCUUUGCAACGAUGUUUUACAUUAAUUGGAGCUGAUGUAUUUUCUUGGUACACAGCUCAACCAAAGAUUAAAAAAUCUUCAUAUCCAACUGUUAAAAUAGGAAAGAGUAAAAAGGAGACAUUAUCUCAGUAUUUCAAGACUGUAAAUUGCAUCAUUUGCAAUGAACUCUGUACAUCUGAUAUAUGUUCCAAAUGCCAAGAUAAUCCAAAACUUGUAACAUCCAAGCUCUUUUCCGAGUGGGCUUCAGCCGAACGACGUGAGCAUAUGCUUCAAGAGAUAUGUGGCUCAUGCUGUGGCAGAAAAUAUGAGUUAAAAUGCACUUCACUUGAUUGUCCAGUCUAUUAUUCGGUGGUCAGUUGCAAUAAAAAUGC
rnacentral:misc_RNA from 1 species